AACUUGGAUCUGCAACUGAAGGCAGGAUUAUUCUGUUAAGAAAAAUGAAGCGAUAGACCGCUGCUUUGCUUCUAUGGACACUAGAUCGAUCUGGAAUUAAGUGUAAGAUAAGAGUACAUUUCCCUCUUUUUCCUGAGACAGCUAACUUUGUAGGUAACUAUUCUGACUGUGCAAUUCAGGUGCCACUAGAGAGAUUUUCUGUUGAGGAUUAU
rnacentral:lncRNA from 1 species